rnacentral:rRNA from 1 species
AUUGAACGCUGGCGGCAGGCCUAACACAUGCAAGUCGAGCGAGUGGCGGACGGGUGAGUAAUGUCUGGGAAACUGCCCGAUGGAGGGGGAUAACUACUGGAAACGGUAGCUAAUACCGCAUACCAUCGGAUGUGCCCAGAUGGGAUUAGCUAGUAGGUGGGGUAAAGGCUCACCUAGGCGACGAUCCCUAGCUGGUCUGAGAGGAUGAUCAGGCACACUGGGACUGAGACACGGCCCAGACUCCUACGGGAGGCAGCAGUGGGGAAUAUUGCACAAUGGGCGCAAGCCUGAUGCAGCCAUGCCGCGUGUAUGAAGAAGGCCUUCGGGUUGUAAAGUACUUUCAGCGGGGAGGCGUUACCCGCAGAAGAAGCACCGGCUAACUCCGUGCCAGCAGCCGCGGUAAUAC